UACAGAUGCGCCCCCACCCCGUGUGUAGCAACGGCACCUGUGAGAAAAGCCCACGAGCUGGGAAGGACCGGGACACACUCAAGUUCUAAGUGAAGUGUGUCAGUGACCUUGUGCCCAAGGACCCCCCCAUCUGCUCACCUCCCAACCUCUUUAGAUUUCACUCUGCUGGCUCAGACAUCCAAGCGGCAGGCGAGCGCCUUGUCAGCACAUUUCCGUGCUUCCCGACACGGGGAAGAAGAACCGGCAGGAACAAGCUUUCCACCGUUUUCUCCUCAAGCAGUUCCUCGCCCUAAGAAGAUGUCGAGCCGGGCUCCAUGAUGGCACACGACCACGAGCUGAAGUGAUCUGGCGUGUUAAUUAACGAAGCAGAGUGGGAACCAAGCAACUCCCCUCAGAGGGAGUUAAAGUGUGAGUAAGGAUGUGACACGCUCCCUCACAAUCCAAAAUGCGCCACCGAGAGACAACCC